UUAUGUAGGUGUUCUAUGAGAAGAGUCCGCGCGAACAUUUGUAUACGUACAGUACUUACAUCGGUGUUCUGUGCGUCCGAGUCUUUGUAUCGAAUGAUGUUGGGUUGAUGAGUACGUGAAAGCUCUGGGACGCGGCGCCUUUGGCUGCCAAGUCCUCUUCCCAUCUGACAACGGUGCGUCCGAGUCUUGCGCGUUCGUGUGGUUGGGUGACCCGCGUUCGGUUCUGCUUGUGCGUGCUGCAUGUCUACACUUUCUCUGAAGCUUCCAGCGGCCGUUCGUUUCAUAAACGCAAUGCCAAAGUAGCAAUGCCUCGCUUUUCAGCGAAACUGCGCAAGACGCUCCUAUCCUGCGGGAAAGCACCUGGAAAUGCAGCGUCAACGUGCCGAGCCCUCGCUGGCUGAACUUUGCAAACUCUUGCCAGGUGUGCUUUCUGGCUGCAGUUGUGACAGAUGGUGUUCCCAUGCCUGCAUCGCCGUGGAAGAUGGCGUGCAACUAAAACAGCAGCCGCUUUCAUUUUGCCUCAAGGCCACAGUGUUGACUUGCUCGGGAGCUUCAUCAGGAAGACAUCAUUGAUGCCCAGCAACAGUCAGUAACCAGUAGUUGCAGUAGAAGCACCUCAGUUGUGAUCAUCGUGACUAUGCAACCACUAGGCUGUCUGCCGUCGUCAUACACAAGUGCAACCACACAGGUGGGAAGUUGCUGCGCUGUCACUGGUACUGCCCUUGGAGCUUUUCGCAGAAGAGCAACUUCAAGACACAUGCGCACCCACAGUCGAGUGCCUCGAACACACAACUUUAGUUGGGAAUCGAACCUAUGACCUUGCGUCGUGGCGUGUCUUAAGUAUCGUGCGGUGGUCGGAAUGCUUUCACAUUCAUCCACGUAAGGAUAAAUAAGUGCUCCUUGAAUUUUUUUCCUUGCACCUAUUACAGUAACCUCCAUUUCAAUUGUUGGCAAUAAACAUAAUCUUUCUCUUUA